rnacentral:rRNA from 1 species
UUGGAGGGCAAGUCUGGUGCCAGCAGCCGCGGUAAUUCCAGCUCCAAUAGCGUAUAUUAAAGUUGUUGCAGUUAAAAAGCUCGUAGUUGAAUUUCGGGAUUGACGUGAUGGUCAUGCCUUAAGGGGUAUGAACUGUUACUGUUGAUUUCUCACCUUCUGGAGAAACUUGAUGUCCUUUAUUGGGUGUCUUGCGGAUCCAGGACCUUUACCUUGAAAAAAUUAGAGUGUUUAAAGCAGGCAUUUUUGCUCGAAUACAUUAGCAUGGAAUAAUAGAAUAGGACGGCAUGGUUCUAUUUUGUUGGUUUCUAGGAUCACCGUAAUGAUUAAUAGGGAUAGUUGGGGGCAUUAGUAUUCAAUUGUCAGAGGUGAAAUUCUUGGAUUUAUUGAAGACUAACUACUACGAAAGCAUUUGCCAAGGAUGUUUUCAUUAACCAAGAACGAAAGUUAGGGGAUCGAAGACGAUCAGAUACCGUCGUAGUCUUAACCAUAGACUAUGCCGACUAGGAAUCAGACGAUGUUAAUUUUUUAAUGACUCGUUUGGCACCUUACGGGAAACCAAAGUGUUUGGGUUC